UACAGAGGGUGCAAGCGUUGUUCGGAAUUACUGGGCGUAAAGCGCGUGUAGGUGGCGAUGUAAGUCGGGUGUGAAAUCCCUCGGCUCAACCGAGGAAGUGCACUCGAUACUGUGUCGCUUGAGUGUUGGAGGGGAUGGCGGAAUUCCCGGUGUAGAGGUGAAAUUCGUAGAUAUCGGGAGGAACACCUGUGGCGAAGGCGGCCAUCUGGACAACUACUGACACUGAGACGGCGAAAGCGUGGGUAGCAAACAGGG
rnacentral:rRNA from 1 species